GAGAUAUUUGAUAGGUGUUUAGAAAAAACCAAUGACAAUCCCCAACUUCAGGAAAUAUUUUAUGAAAGUCAAGUAUCACUUUUUCUAUUCAUUUGUCAACGUAAAGAAUUAAAAAUUUGUUUUCUUGAAAAAUAUUUAAACGAGGCAUUGAAUAAAUAUCCUGAUAAUUUUUAUUUACUUUCUGUAUUUGCUAGUAUUGAGUCUGAAAUGCCAAAUUGGAAUAUUGGUAUAAAA